UACGUAGGGUCCAAGCGUUAUCCGGAAUCACUGGGCGUAAAGGGCGUGUAGGCGGUCAUGUAAGUGGAAUGUGAAAGCCCCCGGCUUACCCGGGGAUCUGCAUUCCAAACUGCUUGGCUUGAGUACGGGAGAGGAUAGGGGAAUUCCUGGUGUAGCGGUGAAAUGCGUAGAUAUCAGGAGGAACACCGGUGGCGAAGGCGCCUAUCUGGCCCGAUACUGACGCUGAGGCGCGAAAGCUAGGGGAGCAAACGGG
rnacentral:rRNA from 1 species